rnacentral:sRNA from 17 species
CCAAUAGCCGGCUAGGGUUCCGGCUCGCCACAGGCGAGCGACUGGUCCGAGAGCUAGCGACCUCCAGCGAGGUUACACGGCGGGACAAAAGCCCGGGAGAA